UGAACCGCGUGAAGUGUGAGGCCCACCUGAGUUGGCACAGAAGCAAGGCCAGGGUGCGGCAGGCAAAGGUGCGGCGCCCUGUUCUGUGGUAUGCCAACCUGCUGCACGCUCAUGGAGUAAGUCAGGGGGCAAGUUUGGUGGUCAGUGACCCAGGGAAUAAGAAGGAAGUGGCUGGGGUUAAGAUGCCAGACCCUGGCCAACAGGUUUGUAGUAGGGGUGAGGGGAGGGGGGGUACGGAACAAGGAAGUGUUAUUCAGCCCAGAUCCCCCUGCGCCUCCCCCAGCCCCACGCCUCUCUUCCUCUCUCCUGGGCUGCAGAAGCUCUGAGCAGAGUUGCCCUCCCAGCCAGGCCCACUUAUCUCAGCUUGGCCAGAGCUCUGCCACAAUCCAGGGCAGUCUCAUGUGACCCAGCCCCCGCCACAGAGGAGGGGCCUCAGGUGAGGCCCAGGCAGCCCAGGAAGGGCUGGAGCACAGGGUGGAAGGCAGAGGACCUGCCCCUCAGCUGCUCUCUCCUGCCCUGAGGCCGCCUGGUAAACCCAUGAAGGAUGAGGAAAUAGAGCAGCUAGACUGGGUGUCAGGCCAAAGGGAGGGCAAUUCUCCCCUCCCCAAGGAAGUACUGCUCUGCUGAGAAAACUCGAGUCACCCUGGCAUGCCCCGAGCCCAGCCCUGGAAGCAGCCAGCCCUUUAUUGGCAUGGGACUGCUCCCUGUUAACACACCCUCUGCCUCCUUCCCCCAUACCUGUGGGCUCUAAUGAGCGCCUGUCGGCAGGCCCUGGGCUGAGUCACCCACACUAGCAACAGGUCUCUUCUUCCUCCACAAUCGCGCCCCACGCCUGCAUUCAGUUAACCAGCACCUCCCCGGGCGCCUCUCCCCCAGACACACUGGGGGCCGGGGAGCGACGCCUGCUGCUCCGGCCCAGGGUGGUGGGGAGGAGACGGUGUGCUGACACACAAGGCAGGGCUGCCCGCAGACAAGUCCCCAGAGGAAUCUUUGGCUCCCCAGUGGCCCUGGGGUGUUGGCCACGGCUGCCCCAACUCCUGCAUGCGGAUGCUGCAAUUACCUGAGCACGAAACCCGGCUUCCCACCUGACUGAGUCAGCUGAGAACAACAACACACCUCCACGCCACACCGCCACACCAGCACAGCCAGCAGGGCACGCAUCAGAGUCGGGGAGCCACGGGGGACAGAGGCAGGGCCACGGCCAGAGGGUGAGCUGGGGCCGCGAGGGGCUGGGGCAGAGGCCGCUCCUACCACCUGAGAAGAUUCAUCCCUCACCCCCUGGUGCUCCUCUCUCCGCUCCAAAAGUACCAGAACCAGCAAACUCACCCUCCAAGCAAGACUGAGCAACCUUCCCAUGAUGCUGGAAAGACAGCAGCGGGCGUCACCAGUGAAUACCAGCCUUCGCCUGAACAACCCCAGACCCCACACCUGAGCUUUACGGUCUGAACAGACGCCCUCCACUAGCAAUCUAGGGAGAACCCUCCAAAAUGUGUCCCCCUUGAGAACGGACAAGCAGGGCGGCCUGCUCCCUGCAGCCAUGUCCCCAGCCUGUGGGAGGCUCUCUUCGAGGGCCUCUGGGGAGUGCUGCCUGCAACAGUCAGGGCGAAGAGCAGCCUCCAUGGCGAGCUCUACGGGGCUGUCCUCCCCGGGCAGUGGGAAGGCGGAAGGCUGUGCAGAGUGGUGCUGGCUCCCCGAGAUCCAGUGUCCCCACCAGAACCCUUGAGCCACAGAAAGUACCUGUUCUUGCUGAGAGGAGGUAGCGUGAGGUGACCCAUGGAUCCCCCAGGGCUCACCUUUAGCUUGGGAGUUCCUUUGCCUUCAGGAUUUUCUGCCUUUCCUAGAAAAUUUGGGGAAAUGAGAAAGUAGAGUAUGAGGGAGAGAGAAGUUCUCCCAAAGGAGAUGCAGCCCAGGCCCAGAAGGACCUAGAAAAGGUCACUCUGGCCAAGGGCAACAGCUGCCCCUGCUCGGGAGCCCCUGAAGCUACUACCCCAGGGGGUCUGCCUGCUGCCUGCUGAAGGGCACGGUGAGCACUCUGCCAGUGCAGGGCUGUGAACACCUGGGGGCAGGACGCAGGGGUACAGACCACACAGUUCUACUAAAACUAGAGCUUCUCUCCCGGUUACCUGCUCCAAAAUAGAGCCAGCCCUACUUGGGACUAAGGUAUAUCAGGCCAGGAGACCUAGGGCAGAGUGAAAAGCAAGCAGGCCAGAGAAUGGGUAGGAAAAAGGGACAGGGGGCAUGUGUCCACGUGGGGUGCCCCUGGGACUGCAGCAGGUGAAAGUCUCCACAGAGAGCUGCCCAGAGCGGGAGGCGGGUGAGGGUGAUGGACUCUCACCUCUCA